UAAAAUUGAGUGUGAUAUGGUCCUGAGCAAUCAGGUUAAUAGGAAAGUGAGUAAAAGCUCACACGGUCACGCCGCUGUAUGGGACGAGUUGAAUUUCAUUUAUGUCACUGGGAUAACUGGGAAGGCGAAAUUCAAUGAAGACCCCCUAAGUCAGAAGACCUGCCUGUCACAAGCGAUUUGCA
rnacentral:ncRNA from 23 species